rnacentral:lncRNA from 13 species
CACCAUCCUGACAUCAACACCAUCCUGACAUCAACACCAUCCUGACAUCAACACAACACCAACACCGUACUGACACCAACACCAUCCUGACAUCAACACCAUCCUGACACCAACACCGUACUGACACCAACACCAUGCUGACAUCAACACCAUCCUGACACCAACACCACAUCAACACCAUCCUGACAUCAACACCAUCCUGACAUCAACACAACACCAACACCGUACUGACACCAACACCAUCCUGACAUCAACACCAUCCUGACACCAACACCGUACUGACACCAACACCAUGCUGACAUCAACACCAUCCUGACACCAACACCGUACUGACACCAACACCAUCCUGACAUCAACACCAUCCUGACACCAACAGCAUAUUACAACACUGCACUCAU